AAGCCUCUAGAUAGAAAAUAGGUGCCCGUACCGCAAACCGACACAGGUAGUCAAGAUGAGAAUUCUAAGGUGAGCGAGCGAACUCUCGUUAAGGAACUCGGCAAAAUGACCCCGUAACUUCGGGAGAAGGGGUGCUCUUUAGGGUUAACGCCCAGAAGAGCCGCAGUGAAUAGGCCCAAGCGACUGUUUAUCAAAAACACAGGUCUCUGCUAAACCGUAAGGUGAUGUAUAGGGGCUGACGCCUGCCCGGUGCUGGAAGGUUAAGAGGAGUGGUUAGCUUCUGCGAAGCUACGAAUCGAAGCCCCAGUAAACGGCGGCCGUAACUAUAACGGUCCUAAGGUAGCGAAAUUCCUUGUCGGGUAAGUUCCGACCCGCACGAAAGGCGUAACGAUUUGGGCACUGUCUCAACGAGAGACUCGGUGAAAUCAUAGUACCUGUGAAGAUGCAGGUUACCCGCGACAGGACGGAAAGACCCCGUGGAGCUUUACUGUAGCCUGAUAUUGAAAUUCGGCACAGCUUGUACAGGAUAGGUAGGAGCCUUUGAAACGUGAGCGCUAGCUUACGUGGAGGCGCUGGUGGG
rnacentral:rRNA from 1 species